CCACCCUUGUCGUAUUAUUACUUUGUUGCUUUGGCGAGCUGCCUUCGGGCCUUGUAUGCUCGCCAGAGAAUACCAAAACUCUUUUUAUUAAUGUCGUCUGAGUACUAUAUAAUAGUUAAAACUUUCAACAACGGAUCUCUUGGUUCUGGCAUCGAUGAAGAACGCAGCGAAAUGCGAUAAGUAAUGUGAAUUGCAGAAUUCAGUGAAUCAUCGAAUCUUUGAACGCACAUUGCCGCCCCUUGGUAUUCCGGGGGGCAUGCCUGUUCGAGCGUCAUUUCAACCCUCAAGCUUAGCUUGGUAUUGAGUCUAUGUCAGUAAUGGCAGGCUCUAAAAUCAGUGGCGGCGCCGCUGGGUCCUGAACGUAGUAAUAUCUCUCGUUACAGGUUCUCGGUGUGCUUCUGCCAAAACCCAAAUUU
rnacentral:rRNA from 1 species